rnacentral:rRNA from 1 species
GAUGAACGCUAGCGGCAGGCUUAAUACAUGCAAGUCGUGGGGCAGAAUGAGUGUAGCAAUACAUUUGAUGGCGACCGGCAAACGGGUGCGGAACACGUACACAACCUUCCUAUAAGUGGGGAAUAGCCCAGAGAAAUGUGGAUUAAUACCCCGUAAUAUAAUGAUGUGGCAUCCCAUCAUUAUUAUAGCUUCGGCGCUGAUUGAUGGGUGUGCGGCUGAUUAGAUAGUUGGCGGGGUAACGGCCCACCAAGUCUACGAUCAGUAGCUGAUGUGAGAGCAUGAUCAGCCACACGGGCACUGAGACACGGGCCCGACUCCUACGGGAGGCAGCAGUAAGGAAUAUUGGUCAAUGGACGCAAGUCUGAACCAGCCAUGCCGCGUGAAGGAUUAAGGUCCUCUGGAUUGUAAACUUCUUUUACAGGGGAAGAAACCCGGAAAUUCUUUUUCGGUUGACGGUACCCUGGGAAGAAGCCCCGGCUAACUUCGUGCCAGCAGCCGCAGUAAGAC